rnacentral:rRNA from 1 species
AGUCUGGAGUGGAAGUCCAUCUUUCAAGGGUGGAAUUGCUUUGGAAACCGUGUGGCUGGAGUGCAGGAGAGGUUAUCGGAAUUCCCGGUGUAGCGGUGAAAUGCGUAGAGAUCGGGAGGAACAUCAGUGGCGAAGGCGGGUAACUGGACUGCAACUGACGCUGAGGCGCGAAAGUGUGGGGAGCAAACAGGAUUAGAUACCCUGGUAGUCCACACCGUAAACGAUGAAUGCUAGGUGUAGGUGGUAUCGACCCCAUCUGUGCCGUAGUAAACACAAUAAGCAUUCCGCCUGGGGAGUACGGUCGCAAGAUUAAAACUCAAAGGAAUUGACGGGGGCCCGCACAAGCAGCGGAGCAUGUGGUUUAAUUCGAAGCAACGCGAAGAACCUUACCAGGUCUUGACAUCCGGUAAAGCCUGUAGAGAUACAGAUUCCCUUCGGGGGUACUGAGACAGGUGGUGCAUGGUUGUCGUCAGCUCGUGUCGUGAGAUGUUGGGUUAAGUCCCGCAACGAGCGCAACCCUUGUUGAUAGUUACUAACGCGUGAAGGUGAGGACUCUAUCAAGACCGCCGGGGACAACUCGGAGGAAGGUGGGGACGACGUCAAAUCAUCAUGCCCCUUAUGACCUGGGCUACACACGUGCUACAAUGGCCGACACAGAGAGGAGCGAACCCGCAAGGGGGAGCAGAUCUCAAAAAAGCGGUCUCAGUUCAGAUUGUGGGCUGCAACCCGCCCACAUGAAGGAGGAGUUGCUAGUAAUCGCGAAUCAGCAUGUCGCGGUGAAUACGUUCCCGGGCCUUGUACACACCGCCCGUCACACCAUGGGAGUUGGUAGCACCCGAAGGCAGAGAGGUAACCGCAAGGAGCCAUCUGACGAAGGUGAGAUCAAUGACUGGGGUGAAGUCGUAACAAGGUAGCCGUA